rnacentral:misc_RNA from 2 species
UGUUUGUCCCUGGUUCCUGUGUUGCCUACCUUUUGAAAGGUACUCGUGUGGCUUGUUGGGCUUUAUCCGUUCUAACCUCUUGUUGGGUUGCGAAGGGCUUUUUAGGUGAAAUACGUGGCUGCCCGGUUAGUCCCGCUUGAUGCCGACUAUUUUGGUGCACAUGUACUAAUCGUGUUCCUGGAUGCGGUGCAUGAAGCGAACGUGGGUUUUUUCCCCAAUGCGUCCCUUAUCGUUUGGUUGCCUUAAAUGAUUCCUGCCUUCAUGCCUGGUUUGACGCAUAUUAUUGGGUCCAAAGCUUGCAUGAUGUGCAGA